rnacentral:rRNA from 1 species
GCUAAUGCAGUCGAGCGCUUGGUUAAGACGUUGGCUUGUUGACUGUCGCGGGGGACGGGUGAGUAACGUGUGGGGAACCCUGCCUGAUGACUGGGAUAACUGGGGGAAAACGGGGCUUAAUCCCGAAAACAUUUUGAACAGCAAGGAGGGAAAUUUUCGGGCCUCUUCGGCUGUCACGUACCCAUGGACCCUCGUCUCCCUAGCGAGGUGGUGAGGUAACUGCUCACCAAUGCAUCGAUGGUUAGACAACAUGACCGGGUGAUCUAGGCACUGAGGGACUGAUGGGACUGCCACACUCCUACGGGAGGCAGAAGCAUGGAAUCUUCGGAAUGGAUGAAAGUCUGACGGAUCUGACCCGAAGCGUGAUGAAGGUUUUCAAGGUUUUCGGAUCUGUUGUAAGGGAAGAACGAGGGCUACUUGAACAAUCUGGACUGUUGGUCGCCUGACAGCAUCUAGCCACGGCGACCCACGUGCCUACAUGCCCGGUACUGCGUAGGUGCCUAGGGUUUUCCGGAUUUAUUGGGCUUAUGGGCCGCGCGCGGAGGUUUCUUGAUUUUGAUGUUGAAAGCCCACCGGGCUCCACCCGUGGAGGCGUCAUUGGAAACUGGGAGACUGGAGUGCCUGAGAGGAGAAGGGGUGAAAUUCCGUGUUACCUGUGAAAUGCGGUAAAUAUAUGGAGGAACACCAGUGGCCCAGUGGACUUUGUGGUCUUCUACUGUCUGAGGCGCUAAAGCUUGGGAGACCAGACAAGCUUACAUGCCCUGGUAGCUCCACGCCGUCCACGAAUGAGUGCUAAAUGUUUGAGUGUUUCCAGCCCUUUCAUGCUGAAGUUCACGCAUUAAGCGCUCCACCAGUCGAGCAGGGCCGCACGGCUGAAACUCUGAGGAAUCUCACGGAGGCCCCGCACGCCCGGCGGAGCAUGUGGUUUAAUUCGUAGAAAUCGCAAAGAACCUUACCAGGUCUUGACGUCCUCUGAACACCUCUAGCAGAUCUAGCAUUCUCCCUUCGUGGAACUCAGUGACAGGUGGUGCAUGGUUGCCGUCCUCUCGUCUCGUCAUGAUGUUGGGUUAAGUCCGCUCAACGACCGCCAACCCUUAUCUUAGUUCCCAUCAUUUAGUUGAGCUCUUUAAAGGGACCGCCCGUGACAAACCGGAGGAAAGUGGGGAAGACGUCAAAUCAUCAUGCCCCUUAUGACCUGGGCUCUCAACCUGCUACAAUGGGCAGUACAAAGAGGAGCAAGCCCGCGAGGUCCAACAAAUCUUCUAAAAUCGUUUUCAAUUUGCAAUGCAGGUUGCAACUUGCCUUCCUGAAAGUGGAAUCGCUAGUAAUCGCGGAUCAGCACGCCCCGGUGAAUACGUUCCCGGGCCUUGUACCCCCCGCCCGUCACACCACGAGAGUUUGUAACCCCAGAAGUCGGGGAGGUAACCUUGAACCACCGCCAAGA